UACCUGCAGCUCAAGUGGUGACCGCUAUUAUUGGGCCUAAAACGUUCGUAGCCGGCUGAGUAAAUGCUUGGGUAAAUCGUGUAGCUUAACUAUACGAAUUCCGGGUAGACUGCUUAGCUUGAGACCGGGAGAAGCUAGAGGUACUCCUGGGGUAGAGGUGAAAUUCUGUAAUCCUGGGGGGACCACCAGUGGCGAAGGCGUCUAGCUAGAACGGGUCUGACGGUGAGGGACGAAACCCUGGGGCGCAAACCGGAUUAGAUACCCGGGUAGUCCAGGGCGCAAACGCUGCUUGCUUGAUGUUAGUCGGGCUCCGAGCUCGGCUAGUGUCGGAGAGAAGUUGUUAAGCAAGCUGCCUGGGAAGUACGAUUGCAAGAUUGAAACUUAAAGGAAUUGGCGGGGGAGCACAGCAACGGGUGGAGCGUGCGGUUU
rnacentral:rRNA from 1 species